AAUACGUAUUUUAAUCGGACUGACCAGGUCAGGAGUCUGAACACUAGAGGUGCUUCUGCUGCCAUCCUCAGUAGUAAUAAGGGAAUCGACAGAAGUCUUGUUGCCACUAACAAAGAUGUGUCGGAUGGAAAGUACCGUCUGCUGUUCACUGCCCCAGAGGCUGUUGUUGAAGACUAUCGUUGGAGGAUGCUAUUACUAGAGCCUCCACUCAAUUCCUCUUUACCGGUAGUGGCAAUAGCUAUGGACGAAGCACACUGUGUUUACAAGUGGAGCUCUGACUUUCGUCCUGCCUAUGCACACCUAGGUGAGCUUAGAGCAUUUGCCCCUCCUGGUGCUCCAAUGUUGGCUGCAAACUGGAUAGUUUCUGACCUACCCUCUAGCUCCACAGCGAUUGCAGAUGAUGUCGAGGCACUGGCAUUAUGUGGACCAUCAAUGAGUAAAAGUAAGCCUUUUUCCUCGAACCCCGAUGGUACUCCUCUUUGCUGAUGGACGCGAGCUCACAGUGAAAGAAGAUGCAUCGGAACCACUCGUGUCCUUAGUCCUUUUCUUAGGGGCUGAUCUUACUGGACUACUAGGGAGCUGCUCUUUGGACACUUGUUUCUGGUAGCUAUGUCUGGCCAGGAGCCUGAACGCCUCUAUGGACUCUAUCUUCUUGAUACAAGAAAAACAGACAAUCUUUGACAGGCCAUCUGAAUCACUAACAGGCAGAUCCAAUGCAAGACUGAGCCUCCCUGGAAUAUCUUCUUUGAGAGCCUUACUGCUGAACAAAAUUAAUGUUUAUAUCUUCUGUUUUGUAUGGCAUCAGUGCUGCAACAUAACCUACAAAGAACAAACUUAGAAGCCAUCAUUAAUUUUAUUCAAUUUUCAUUUGACCACAUGGACUUAAUAAUAAUAACGAAGUC